rnacentral:piRNA from 1 species
UAUAGAUGUCCUUAUCUUUGUUCUUAGGAG